GGUUUGAGGUUCGAGUCCUAGAUAUUGCGAUUUAUUAACAAAUUUGCAGAUUAAUAGAGGCAAGUGUGCAGGAGAUCUCCAGCGAUGUACAAUUAUAGCCGUUCGCCAGGAUUCUACGCAGAGAAGGAAGUGUCGUCAGGUCGUGGAUCAUUGAAGGUAUUCAUCAAGAUUAUGAAGAAAGAAGUGUAGUCUGUCGUAGAUCUAAUAAGGGUUGGAAGGAAUUGUCAGUUGU
rnacentral:lncRNA from 1 species